AUGCAUCUAUUUGACAGGUCUGGAGCAGUUACCGUCUGCUACUCAGGUUUCCGCUAUAGAUGCAAGAAGAAGAAAGCAUCCUUGUGCUUUCUGUCUGACUGUGGCAGCCCAGACUGAAUGUGGGACUACAGGG
rnacentral:snoRNA from 1 species